rnacentral:rRNA from 1 species
ACCCGCUGAACUUAAGCAUAUCACUAAGCGGAGGAAAAGAAACUAACUAGGAUGGCCUCAGUAAUGGCGAAUGAAGCGGCCAGAGCCCAAGAUGGUAAUCUCCGCCUUUCAGGCGGCGAAUUGUAAUCUUGAGAUGCUAAACUCAAUUGGUGGUGUCGUAGAAGUGCCCUGGAACGGGCCGCCAAAGAGGGUGACAGCCCCGUACGUGACGACGCCGCCUAACGAGUUGGUAUUCAAAGAGUCGGGUUGUUUUGUAUUGCAGCCCUAAGCGGGAGAUAAACUUCUUCUAAGGCUAAAUAUAUGUGGGAAACCGAUAGCGAACAAGUACUGUGAAGGAAAGAUGAAAAGCACUUUGGAAAGAGAGUCAAAAGACCUGAAACCGUUGAGGAGGAAGCGGUAGAGAUGUAUUCUACGGCGAUGCGCGGGGAAGACGAUCUAAGCACGGCGGAGGUAUGUCACGUCAAAGGGCUGCUUUUGUCUCAAGCGGAAAUCGUUCAUUUGCGCGGCGUCGUGAGGCAGGAUGGAGUGACGGGAUCACAAAGGCCUAGUUGAUCUGGGAGCCCUCGGGUUUCAAUCCUCUGGUGCCGGUGGCCUCGUGGCUUGAGGGUGCUUUGUGCGAUCCUGUCAAAAUGGUCUUUACCGACUCGUCUUGAAACACGAACCAAGGAGUCUAACGUACACGCGAGUAUGCCAGCGGAAAAACUGACAUGCGCAAUGAAGGUGAGUGAUGCCAAGCGCAAGCAGCAGCAUCGACCGACCAUGAUUCUUAAUGAAAGGUUUGAGUAUGAGCGUGUCCGCUAGGACCCGAAAGAUGGUGAACUAUGCCUGCGUAGGGUGAAGCCAGGGGAAACUCUGGUGGAAGCUCGUAGCGAUACUGACGUGCAAAUCGUUCGUCGAACGUGGGUAUAGGGGCGAAAGACUAAUCGAACCAUCUAGUAGCUGGUUCCCUCCGAAGUUUCCCUCAGGAAAGG